rnacentral:rRNA from 1 species
AGCGAACGCUGGCGGCAGGCCUAACACAUGCAAGUCGAGCGCCGUAGCAAUACGGAGCGGCAGACGGGAGAGUAACACGUGGGAACGUACCCUUUGGUUCGGAACAACCCAGGGAAACUUGGGCUAAUACCGGAUAAGCGCUCACGGGGAAAGAUUCAUCGCCGAAGGAUCGGCCCGCGUCUGAUUAGCUAGUCGGGGGGGUAAUGGCCCACCAAGGCGACGAUAAGUAGCUGGUCUGAGAGGAUGGUCAGCCUCACUGGGACUGAGACACGGCCCAGACUCCUACGGGAGGCAGCAUUGGGGAAUAUUGGACAAUGGGCGCAAGCCUGAUCCAGCCAUGCCGCGUGGGUGAGGAAGGCCCUAGGGUUGUAAAGCCCUUUCGGCGGGGAAGAUAAUGACGGUACCCGCAGAAGAAGCCCCGGCUAACUUCGUGCCAGCAGCCGCCGUAAAAC